CCCCCCGAAUUCUCUCCGUUUUUGGUCUCUCUCUCGCUGAACGAAGGCAAUGGUUGUUCCUCUGCUUUUCUCUUCUCUGUGUAUAUUUUUUUUUUGCUCUGUUCUUGUUCGUGCUCUGCCUCUCCCUUUCUUUCUCCCUGUUUGCGUCUUCCUUUCUGUCCCCUGCGUCUUCUGCCUCUCCCCUUUUGCUGGUUUUGCCUUUUUUCCUCCUGUUCUGGGUCUCCUUUUCUCUCAGUUUUUCCCCAGUUUUUCUUCAGUUUUUCUUCCCCUGUUUCUGUUUCGUUUUCUGCCGUUCAUGGUUUUUUGUUUUCCUAUCCCCUUUUCGUCCAAAUCCCCCCUGGCCCUCCAGUCGUUUUUUUUCCUGGUUUUAUCCUCUCUUGGAAUGCCAUGCGGUCCCAUGCUCUCUGUUUUAAUGCAGGAAUAAAGGCAGCAGUUUUCUUUUUUUCGGGUGAAGAAGAUGAACAGUGUUGAGGUCAUUUUGCAUUUUGGUCCUUGAUGUUUUGAACGUUUUGUAAUCAAGCCCUUGGAUAAACUGUAAUUGGAUCCUUGCUUUUCCGCUCCA